rnacentral:rRNA from 1 species
AUGGGGGGAACCCUGACCGAGCAACGCCGCGUGAGUGAAGAAGGUUUUCGAUCGUAAAGCUCUGUUGUAAGAGAAGAACGAGUGUGUGAGUGGAAAGUUCACACUGUGACGGUAACUUACCAGAAAGGGACGGCUAACUACGUGCCAGCAGCCGCGGUAAUACGUAGGUCCCGAGCGUUGUCCGGAUUUAUUGGGCGUAAAGCGAGCGCAGGCGGUUAGAUAAGUCUGAAGUUAAAGGCUGUGGCUUUUACCAUAGUACGCUUUGGAAACUGUUUAACUUGAGUGCAGAAGGGGAGAGUGGAAUUCCAUGUGUAGCGGUGAAAUGCGUAGAUAUAUGGAGGAACACCGGUGGCGAAAGCGGCUCUCUGGUCUGUUACUGACGCCGAAGCCCGAAGCUGGGAGCCAACAGAUUAGAUACCCUGGUAGUCCACGCCGUAAACGAUGAGUGCUAGGUGUUGGGUUCUUUCCGGGGACUCAGUGACCGCAGCUAACGCAUUAAGCACCCCGCCCUGGGGGAGUA